CCUGCUCUCCCGAGGCCCUGCAAUAUUGUUAUGAGGGCGGCGGCCGAGGAAAAUACGAAGACGAGAUUAUGGCGAGGGUCAGCGCGGUAGAGUGGGCUAGGGGCGGCGGCGGUUGCUGCUGUUCAUUCAAGAGGAUUGCCUUCAUGAUUUGCUGCGUUAAUCUGGUCGCCGCGCUUCUCGUGGUUCGAUCGUUGUACACUUCUUUCUUCUUCCCCCCUUCGUCUGGUAUCAGUGGCAAUUCCCUUGCCGAUCAGAUAAUGAGGACGGAAGAAUCGAUCCGGAUUCGAGGAGAAAUGGAACCUUUGGCUCUAGUUAGCGCGGUGAGGAAGCUGAAAAAGAAGUUGUCCGGAGAUCAGAAAAGGGGACUUAUUCAAUUGCCACAACCGGUGAUGUAUAAGUUCGCCUAUGAGAUUCUGGAGAGGUUGCAAGGUCUUCACAAUACUAACGUGACAGAACAACAGGCUGCAGUGAAUUUAUGGCGUAUCCAAAAGCUUGAAGUAGUUAGAAAGGAAGCAAGUUCGAAAUCUUCAAAUUCAAGCAUCCGGUAUCAGGAAGCAAUGUGGUUCAUAGAGAUGUUGAAACAAGCACUGGUGACUAAUUGGCAUGUUCUAAUGGAAGGAAUUGGAUUUUGGAUCGCAGCCAAUGUUAUGAACACUGAGCAUGAUGAUAAACCCGAGAAUGAAACUGAUAUUGAAGAGAUAAUUCCUGGUCGGCCAAUGGCUCCUGAAUGCCAUGCUGAGCUUCAUACUGAGGGGGCGGAUCUUCUGGACCCAAAAUUCCUUAAACCACAUAUCCCAUAUAAAAUUCUCCCUCACGUGCAAAGCGCGUGCACGCGCCGACGCACAAAGAAGCCCCAAAAGCCCUAGCCUCUCGAACUCUCCUCCCUCCAGCGUCACCUCCUUCCGGCUACCUCCACCGUCCUGUUGCCUCCCUCCGAAGUUGUCGCCCUCCAGCGCCGUCUCCCUCCCGCCGCCUCCCUCCAACAUUGUCGACAUCCAGCGCUGCCUCUGCACAAAAGCCCUAGCCUCUCGACAUCCAGCGCUACCUCUGCACAAAAGCCCUAGCCUCUAGACAUCCAGCGGCGCCUCCCUCGUCGCCUGCGGCCUCCCUCCAGCGUCGUCUCCCUCUCGCGACCUCCCUCCAGCAUCGCCUACCUCCAGCGUCGCCUCCCUCCCAUUGCCUCCAUCGUCGCCUGCGACCUCCCUCUAGCGUCGUCUCCCUCACGCGACCUCCCUCCAGCAUUGUUGACCUCCAGCGCCCUCCCGCCAGCAUCGGGGACCUCCAGCGACCUCCCUCUACCUCGCUUCUGUGACCUCCAGCAGCCUCUAGCGACCUCAAAUUUGAUUCCAGCGACCUCCGUCCUUGGCACUGUGUGGAAGAAAGAAAGAACCUUUUCGAUUGUUGCUGAAAAACUUCUCAUUUUUUUUGUGCUGCUGAUCCUUCUCAGAAAGGUACAAGAAAAAAAUCAUGGCAUCUGACUCUUCAUCAGCAUCAUCUUUCACUCGAUGACGUAUAAACGAUGAGCAAUGUGAAGCUCCCAAAUAUUAUGUAAUUGUGGGUUACGAGCUAUUCUCCAAAUAUCAUGGACAGAAUCUAAUCCAGGAAGGCGAUUUUUUUCAUGUCCAAAAUAUAGACAAAGAGGAUGUGACUUCUUAUGGUAUGACCCAGAAUCGUCAGAGAGAAGUAAGACAAUUAUUAAUGAGUUGAAGAAGAAUAAUAACAAAUUAAAGUUGGAGAUUAGUGAAUUGAAGAAAUGUAUUAGUUACGAGGGUAGAGUUGAAUACAAGGAUGUUCUGGAUGAUGGGAACAACAACCAUGUAAUAAUAAAGUUGAGUGAUAAAAUAUGUUCAUUGAAUAGGAAAUUUAGAGUUAUUGUCAUUGUAGUUGUAUAUACUUGGAUUGUGAUGAUGAGUAUGUGGUUGAUGUAACUUAUUUUUGAUGUAAUACUUGGAUUGUGAUGGAUUAUG